rnacentral:rRNA from 1 species
GUUAGGAAUAUUGGACAAUGGGCGCAAGCCUGAUCCAGCCAUGCCGCGUGAGUGAUGAAGGCCUUCGGGUUGUAAAGCUCUUUAGUCCACGAAUAUAAUGACUGUAGUGGAAGAAUAAGCCCCGGCUAACUUCGUGCCAGCAGCCGCGGUAAUACGAAGGGGGCGAGCGUUAUUCGGAAUCACUGGGCGUAAAGCGUGCGGAGGCUGUUUUGUAAGUCAGAAGUGAAAGCCCAGGGCUUAACCCUGGAAUUGCUUUUGAAACUACAAGACUCGAAUUCGGGAGAGGAUAGCGGAAUUGUCAGUGUAGCAGUGAAAUGCGUAGAUAUUGACAGGAACACCAGUGGCGCAAGCGGCUAUCUGGACCGAUAUUGACGCUGAGGCACGAAAGCGUGGGGAGCAAACAGGAUUAGAAACCCUAGUAGUCC